CAUUGAGAAGCUUCUUAUAGCGUUAGCCUUUUAAGUUGAAGAAGAAAUACUGUUUCCUCAAUGA
rnacentral:tRNA from 1 species